AUAGAGGGAGUUGAAGUAGUUAGUUUCGGUUUAUUUGUAAAACACAAGGAGUAACCAGGUGUGUGGAAGUAAUCGCUGUGAGCCGGUGGACUGGGCGAAGACAGCGGGCUGAGCUGGAGCAGCGGAGGAUCCGUGAAUCUGUAAAUUGAGGUGCAGUUAUUAGCUACACCAGCAGGUGAUGAGAUUCCCUUGCAUGACCUGACAGUACUACAGUGUGUAAGCUACUGGAAGAAGGCUAAACAAGAGACAUUGUACAACAGGAACAAACAUGCUGGCUUCUACCAGGAGGUGAAAGACAGGGUGGAGCAUAUUUAUUUAACCCAAAGGCAUGUGAUUCAGGAUCGGGUUCAUCAAUGUCAUCUCCAGGUGAGUGUGCUGCGCUUGCUUACUUACUGGCGUUACCUACAGUUUGCUAAUAUUAGUGUUAGCUAUCUGUGGCAGUGGUGUACAAGCUAGCUCAUGUUAGAUCAUUUAGAUGGGGCCUUGUUUCAAAAAGCAGGUUUUGUGAAAACUCUGAGGGAAACUCUGGAUCUGUGAAUCUAGCCUGCUUGCUGGCAGGUUUUCUUCAACAAACCCUGAGCUUCUCUCCUCCCUCUUACAGAGCCAGACAUGCACAAACCUCCAAUGUUGUGGCUCUCCGGCGUCCCGGAGUUUUCAUACAGGGAAAAUAGGUGUCCAGACUGGAAAUUUUGCACAUGGAAUAACUCCUGCUUUCAAACGAGAAUCAAACACUAGUGUAAUACCUUCAAAAGCUUCCUUCUUCAAAGGCUAUUGGUUCUGACACGGCCUGAAUGAGGAUUUGGGUGUGAUUACUACAGGCUCAGCAUCUUUGAUUAAUCCUCCAUCAUACUUGUGUUGUGCCCACAAGCAGGAUGGUACCUGAUUUAACUCAGGAAUUUCUGAGACGUCUUUCACAAAAAUGUUUUUGUCAUGACUUAUUUCAUCAUCUGAUGUUAUCAAACUGGCCAUCAAAAACUCUGAAUCUGGAAUGAGCUCAAUGCUUCUUACCCCUGUUGCUAUAGCUGAAAAUCUUUUCCAGAAUACCUGCAGUCGGUUGUGAAAAUCCAUACCUGAGUCUGAUGUCUUGCCCAACCAGCAGCUUCCUCACAACGUCUGGUCCAAGGGCCCAAGCAUUUAGAUGUAUUCUGCUUUGCUUUGACCAGGGGGACAUGAGGAUAUGUGUUAGGGACUUGAAACAAAGCUUUACAAAGUGGAUCAAUGAAAGCUACUGAGACUGUGCAUCUUUUAUCAUUCCAGUACAACCAGUCCUUGUUGAUGUCAUGGCCACCUGUGAUGCCUCCACACCGCCUGCUACACACAGCAUAAACACUAAGUACCAGUCUUGGCUACUUGACUUUAGACAGCUGAUUUUACAUUGUCUGUCUUCAAAGGACGACAACAACAAAAAAUGUUAGACUGUAUCUAUAUUUUGAAGUGUUGCUACCUUUUCUCCUACAGAUGUGAAGAAUUGUGUUGUAAACAUGAAAAACUGAGCCACCCUUUAUAGUUAACUUUAUAUUUUUCAUUACUUGAAGCAUUUAUUACACUCAUUUAUUUUCUUCCCAUAAUCACAGUGUGGAUCAUUGGUGAGAGAGCAGCAGAGAGCUUGGGAUGCAACCUCAGCAUGCUGGACAUCCAUGUCUGUUGGUUUGGCUGGGGUGGACUGCGGUGGAAAGGCCUUCUCCCCUUCUUUUCCCAGUCUCUGCGAGGAAGAGCAGAAUCGGAUGUUCUCAUCAUCCCCUGUGGUGGCAACGACAUGGGGGAGGUCAGCAGCAUCAAGCUGGUCAACAUGAUGAAGGAGGACCUGCACCAGCUUCAACUCCAGCACCCUGGCAUGAACAUCAUGUUUUUGUCUGUGACCCAAAAGGUGCCGGUGGAAGGCUUGUGCCAAUCUGGUGAAGCUCGACAAGGCCAGGAAAUUUGUCAACAGUGUUAUAGCUACAUUUGUUCAUAGCUGAAAUGGUGUUAUGAUUGAGCACCCUCAUAUUAGACAUGACAGUCCUGGGCUAUUUUUGAAAGAUGGAAAUGAUAUGUUUUGAAGUACAAUAGACCACCUCCAAAUGCAGUGAAUUGCUUACGUACAAUUGGCAGUGUCACUGCUUUUGAAUUUGACCUUUAGGACCUGUUUUCUUACACCUAUACAUAGCCCUGACCGUCAUUGCUAAUGUUGAGUUUAUUUUUUAUAUUCAUUAUGGUUGUUUACAACAUCUGUAGCCAUAACACUGUUACCACCUCUGCUCUUCCUCAUCCCUACUAUCCCACACUUUAUCCCCUUUUCCCCCUACCACCCCAUGGACUCUGCAGCUCUUUGGGCAUAGCUGUUACCUCUUGCACAGGCCCAGUCUGUUGAUUUUAUUUUAAUAAAUGUCUUUACUUUUA